CCUAAAGCAAGAGUGGAAGACGCUUUUCUUGAAAGCUAAGCUUCUUCCUGACAGCGGAGCCGGUCAUGAAUGCUAAGGAUUGUUAGCAUUGCCACCAAUGAUGGCAAAUAAACAGCUUUCCUGUGUGGAACCGCCAUUUCCACCGGACUGCACCGCAGAACCGACGGCCAACCAACCUCUGACUGACCUCGUCGGGCAAACAGAUGGAGCCAACGCCGACAGUCCCGCCAGCCAAAAGAGAAAGACACACACUGAGAGAGAGACGGCAUGUAAACGGCCAUCUGACCCAAAAAUAUGCGCUUUCUCAUCCGGUUUUACUGUAGUGACUGUAGUGACUGUGGUUGGAAACUGAAAGAUGCUUUAAGCUCUCAGGAUUUUGGAACUCCAGUCUACGUGCAAAAGCCCAAUUUUCAA